rnacentral:Y_RNA from 1 species
GGCUGAUCCAAGUGCAGUGCUGUUUACAACAAUCGAUCACAACCAGUUACAGAUUUCUUUGUUCCUUCUCUACUCCCACUGCUUCACACUUGACUAGCCUUUA